UGGAUUACCAAGGCAUACAUAUUUUUUGUCAUAGGACAUCAUGCUGUGGGUGACUGGGUGAAGGUUUUCGGCUCAGGAACAAGACUUACUGUAACAGACCAACUUGCGAAAGCUCCUAGACUAUCUAUGUUCCCGGUAUCCAGAAUACACAGUAAUGGAAAGCAUGUACUGCUAUGCAAUGCACGAGACAUGUUCCCAAACUUGGUGAAAUUCAUAUGGAAUGAUGAAAGUGGAGGAGAAGUUAAACUGGAAGAUUAUGAUCUACUGGAGCAGACAGAUAAUGAGGAAGGAAUAACCAGCAUGCUCAUUGUAGACGAAAGCAAAUCGUCCAUGUUAAACAAAUACAAGUGCACCGUCAAACAUGAAAAGAAUGUAGGAAGUGUUUCCAUUCCAGAAGAUACGAAAGAUGUCAAACCACGAACGUGUCCACCACAAAACACAGCAAAUGAAGAGCAAGAGGACAAUCUAAUAUCUGGUGUGUUUGAGCACAGCCGCAGUUUGUAUCUGUUUAGCAUGACGUAUGUAAUGCUGUUCGUGAAAAACAUGCUGUAUUUCUGCAUCAUCUUUUUCUUACUGUACAAAAGGAAUUCUGCUAAUAAGGGGAUGGUCAAAGGCAAAGUUCGCUGAUCAAUUCACUGUUUUAUGUUACUGAAGAUUUUAUUUUGUCUUACAUGGUAAAAAAGUAAAUAGUAGUCAACUUUCUGAAACAUCUCCUAAAA